rnacentral:rRNA from 1 species
CGGACGGGUGAGUAAUGUCUGGGAAACUGCCCGAUGGAGGGGGAUAACUACUGGAAACGGUAGCUAAUACCGCAUAAUGUCUACGGACCAAAGCGGGGGACCUCCGGGCCUCUUGCCAUCGGAUGUGCCCAGAUGGGAUUAGCUAGUAGGUGGGGUAACGGCUCACCUAGGCGACGAUCCCUAGCUGGUCUGAGAGGAUGACCAGCCACACUGGAACUGAGACACGGUCCAG